CCCACACCCAGGCCCUGCUGCCGGGCCGAUGGGCACCACUAAGAGGUGCUCUGGGCCCUAACUGGGACCCUCAUCCUGGCCCCUACGCAGGGUCUUCCACAACAGAGGAUACAUUUCUGAAACGCCUUCAACCUAAGAUUUCAACAGCUACCCAGGCAGCCAAAGCCCAAGGGUAAAGAAGAGCAGCCCCAGAAAAGAGGACAGAGCAAGUGUGGCCGGCCUCGGCGGUGGCGGGCCAGCAGGUUAGUGGAGGCAGGAGCACGGAGACGGCAGCGCCGUGUUCCGACCACUUCCUACAGGCGCUUCUCAAAGCGCGGCCCUGGGCAGUCACUGGGGAGCUUGUCAAACAUGGAGAUUCAGGGCCCUGGUGCCCGGGAGGCUGGAGAACCACCGCCAACCGUGUGUCACAUACUGUCCACCCCUCGGAGCUCUUAUAUAUCCCCAAGGGCAUUCCUGAGUAGGUGAAAGGCCUUCCUUUGGCUGACACUGAGGCCUCCCAGGACCUCAGUCUUCCCUGUGUCAUGUCUUGUUCUGACCCACUUGACCCAACAAGGGCACACACAACAUACUCCCACCACUCCUGAAGUCCCCCUGCCUUUGUUCAAGCUAUUCCCUGGUCAGAAAGGCCUUCCUGAACAACAAGGACCUCCUGAUGCUGUGAAGGAUAAAAGGUAUGAAGAUGGGCAGAGGGGGGAGGUGCAGGACCGGGGUGGGGGAUGGGGGGUAAAGAAGGGGUCAAGAGUUAGGAGGCAGGGGAAGGGAGACGGAAAUCCAGCCCCUCCUGUCCCACUCUAAGGGCAUCACGCUGUGGGCAAGGCCUCCCCCUACGCUGCCACCCCAUGCGUGUGCCUGGGCUGGCUGCCAUGGCUGGUCAAUGGGUUAAUGAUUCCAGUAGCACAGGGGCUUGGCACAGGUCACCUCCCACCAUGCACAGGACCUGAGUUAGUGGGGGACACAAAAGACGAGGGCCAUGGCACAGGGGGACACUGGUCUAGUGCCCUCAGGCACCCAGCCUGGGCAGGGCAGGACAAGGGGAAGAAGGGGGCACCUGCUGACAGCCUCUGGCUCAGGGAGGCCGGACCCAGAGUCGGGAAUCCAUGGGAAGCUGGGAGUGUCUCCAGACCCGGUUUAGGGAGAGAGUAAGCAGCCGCCUGUGAGGGGCCUCAGCCUCCUGGUCAUGAAAGAAUCCUGGGUAGAGGCUAAGGCCCCUCAAGGAGACCCUCCUCCUGUGGCAGUGGGAAGGGUCAGCCUGCUCUGUCCAAGCCGCGCCCCCCAGUCCUGGGAACAAAGGGCACGUCCCUGCAAAGCCUGCCCAUGUGUCCUGGGAGCUGGGUCCCCUCAGAGGGCUGCCUAUGGGAGCACAGCCGCAGCCCCAUCAACAGCAGGCAAAAGCCCCAGGGCCGGCCCUAUCUCCAUCUCUGGCCUGUCUGCUCAUGGCCACCAAGUGCCCAGCCCUGGGGAGUAUCCCACAGGGGACCCAGCCUUCCCUCUGAGAGGGGGGCCUCAGAGACGGCCCGGGGGCUCCGGCCCUCACCUCCAGGAGCUGGGGAGCUGCAGAAGAGAGAGAGAGAGAGGAGCUCGCCAGGUGGAGGCGGGGCAGCAGCAAGCUCGAAGACGCACCCCUGUGCAGCCGGGGGUGCCGAGGAGGGCCCGGGGGCUGCGCGAGGUGAAGGGGUGAGGAAAGGCAUCUCAUAGGAGCUGGGUAACUGCGCAUCAGCUCCUGUAUGAAGCCGUUCUCACCCCCCACCUACUGACUACGGCCGCGACCCUCCUCCCGGAAGCAUUGUGUGCACCCCGGACGGCAGGUGGGACCUGCCACUAGCAGCUGCUCGUGGUGACAGCAGUGACGGUAAGGGACAGCCAGCCCAGGCGGCACUGCCCGCCGCUGGGGACCUGCAGCACGGUGGUGCCUGCGUGCCUCGCCCGACCGCGGCCUGCCGCUGCCUCCUCUGGCCAGGGCCUGGGUCUCCCUUAGCUGGGCUCCACAGGGAGGCCUCAGGAGGCUGUGGAGACAGGCUAGGGCAUGGAGCCUGGGGACCCCAGGGGCAGCAGACCUGAGCUGGCACAGGAGCUGUGAGUGGGCAUCAGGGGCUCGGAUUUCCCCCCUCUGCAGCUUUCUACUCCCGGCCACUUUUCCUGCCUCACCGUCUGUGUCAGGACACCUCUGGGAAGCUAGUGAGGUGUCACUGAGCCCAAGAGGAGGUUAGUUUCCCUGAGACAAAAAGCAGCCAGGGGUUACUCAGGGUCGGAGGAUGGGGGAGGGGGAGAUGGGGUGACAGGUAAAGGCUACAGGAUAAAUGACAGAACGACUCCAAAACCGAAUUGCUGAUGGUUGCCUGUAUCUGUGAAUAAACUGAAACCACGGACAUGUGCACUUCAGGGGCUGGACUGCGUGCAUGCAGAUAUCCAAUAAAGUUGUUUUUAAAAAAUAAAGAGCUUCCCUGGUCCCUGCCCAUCUUUCUUGACCACCGUGCCCGCCUUCCCCUGCUGCAGGCCUCGCCACAGACUCAGCAGCCACCAGCACCAUCAACACACUCUCCCACAGAUGCACGGCCUGGCACACGGUAGGUGUUCAAUAACACCGUUAUUGCUGAAUUAAUGACUUAAUGACAGAAGAUCCCCUAAACAGCACAUGGAAGAAAAGCUCCAGGGUGCGGAGUUCUGGCCCUAAGGAGAACUGGGGACAGGAGGGGGGAAGGCGAGGGAGGGGGUGAAGGGCUCCAUGUGACACGUGGUGGGGAAGGGGCUCCAUGUGACACGUGGUGGGGGAGGGGCUCCAUGUGACACGUGGUGGGGAAGGGGCUUCAUGUGACACGUGGUGGGGAAGGGGCUCCAUGUGACACGUGGUGGGGCGAAGGGCUCCAUGUGACACGUGGUGGGGAAGGGGUUCCAUGUGACACAUGGCUGGGGGAGGGGCUCCAUGUGACACACGGUAGAGAAUGGCUCCAUGUGACACACAGGCAUUGGAGUGGCUCCAUGCGACACACUUAAGGAAGAGCCUCCACGUGACACGUGAGUGAGGAGGGCUCCAUGUGACACAUGGGUGGGGAAAGGACUCCAUAUGACACAAGGGUAACGGAGUGGCUCCAUGCAAUACACAUUGGGGAGGCCCUCCAUGUAACAUGUGUUGGGGGAGGGCUCCACGUGACACAUGGGUGGAUGAGGAGCUGCAUGUGACACAUGGGUAAGAGAGGAGCUCCAUGCAACAUAUGUAGGGGAGGGCCUCCAUGUGACACGUGAGUGGAGAUGGCUCCAUGUGUCACAAGGGUGGGGAGGGGCUACAUGUAACACAUGAGUGGGGGAGGGGCUCCAUAUAACAAAUGAGUAAGGAGGGACUCAGUGUGACACACGGGUACAGGGUUUAGUGUGACAAAUGGGUUGAGGAGAGGCUCUAUGUGACACGAGUCAGGGGUAAUAAGUGCAGCACAUGAGUGAGGCAGGGACUCAGUGUGACAUGAGUGGGAGAGGGACUCCAUGUGACACAUGAGGAGGGGAGGGGCUCAGUGUGACACAUGAGGGAGGGAGGGGCUCUGUAUGAUACUUGAGUAAGAAAGGGACUCCAUACGAUACGUGAAUAGAGAAGGAGAUCAACGUGACACAUGGGUGAGGGAGGGGCGCGUUGUGACAGGGGUGUGGGAGGGACUCAGUGUGACACAUGAGUUAGUGAGGGGCUCUGUAUGACACAGCGGGAGAGGGAAUCCAUAUGAUCCGUGAUGAGGGGAGGGGCUCAGUGUGACACAAGGGUGUGGGAGGGGUUGAGUGUGACACACGAGUGAGGGAGGGGCGUAUUGUGACAGGGGUGUGGGAGGGGUUCAGGGUGACACAUGAGGGAGGGAGGGGCGUGUUCUGACACAGGGGUGUGGGAGGGGCUCAGUGUGACCCAUGGGUGAGGGAGAGGCAUGUAACACAGGGGUGUGGGAGGGGCGUGUUCUGACACAAGGGUGUGGGAGGGGCUCAGCGUGACACGGGUGAGGGAGGGGCGUGUUGUGACACAAGGGUGUGUGAGGGGCAUGUUGUGACACAAGGGUAUGGGAGGGGCUCAGUGUGAUACAUGAGUGCAGGAGGGGCGUGUUGUGACACGGGUGUGGGAGGGGCUCAGUGUGACACAUGAGUGCGGGAGGGGCGUGUUGUGACACAGGGGUGUGGGAGGGGUUCAGUGUGACACAUGAGUGAGGGAGGGGCGUGUUGUGACACAAGGGUGUGGGAGGGACUCAGUGUGACACGAGUGAGGGAGGGGCGUGUUGUGACACGGGUGUGGGAGGGGUUCAGUGUGACACGAGUGAGGAACUGUAUAUAACACAUUAGUGGGAGACGGAAUCCAUAUGAUACAUGAUUAGGGGACGGGCUCAGUGUGACACUUGAGUGAGGGACUGGCGUGUUGUGAUACAUGAGUGCGGGAGGGGCGUGUUGUGACACGGGUGUGGGAGGGGCUCAGUGUGACACAUGAGUGCAGGAGGGGCGUGUUGUGACACAGGGAUGUGGGAGGGGCUCAGCGUGACACAUGAGUGAGGAACUCUAUAUAACAUUAGUGGGAGAGGGAAUCCAUAUGAUACAUGAUUAGGGGAGGGGCUCAGUGUGACACUUGAGGGAGAGUGGCGUGUUGUGAUACAUGUGUGAGGGAGGGGCAUGUUGUGACACAAGGGUGUGGGCGGGACUCAGUGUGACACAUGAGUGAGGGAGGGGCGUGUUGAGACACAAGGGUGUGGGCGGGACUCAGUGACACAUGAGUGAGGGAGGGGCGUGUUGUGACACAAGGGUGUGGGCGGGACUCAGUGUGACACAUGAGUGAGGGAGGGGCAUGUUGUGACACAAGGGUUAGGGAGGGACUCAGUGUGACACAUGAGUGAGGGAGGGGCGUGUUGUGACACAGGGGUGUGGGAGGGGUUCUGUGUGACACACGAGUGAGGGAGGGGCAUGUUGUGACACAAGGGUGUGGGAGGGGCAUGUUGUGACACAAGCGUGUGGGAGGGACUCAGUGUGACGAGGGAGGGAGGGGCGUGUUGUGACACAAGGGUGUGUGAGCGGUGUGUUGUGACACAGGGGUGUGGGAGAGGCGUGUUGUGACACAGGGGUGUGGGAGGGACUCAGUGUGACAAAUGAGUGAGGGAGGGGCUCUAUAUGACACAUUAGUGGGAGAGGGAAUCCAUAUGAUACAUGAUUAGGGGAGGGGCUCACUGUGUCACUUGAGUGAGGGAGGGGCAUGUUGUGGCACAGGGGUGUGGGAGAGGCAUGUUGUGACACAAGGGUGUGGGAGGGGUGUGUUGUGACACAGGGGUGUGGGAGAGGCAUGUUGUGACACAAGGGUGUGGGAGGGGCGUGUUGUGACACAGGGGUGUGGGAGGGACUCAGUGUGACAAAUGAGUGAGGGAGGGGCUCUAUAUGACACAGUGGGAGAGGGAAUCCAUAUGACACAUGAUGAGGGGAGGGGCUCUGUGUGACACACGAGUGAGGGAGGGGCGUGUUGUGACACAGGGUCUGGGAGGGACUCAGUGUGACACAUGAGUGAGGGAAGGGCUCUAUAUGACACAGUGGGAGAGGGAAUCCAUAUGACACGAUGAGGGGAGGGGCUCAGAGUGACACAUGAGUGAGGGAGGGGCGUGUUGUGACACAAGGGUGUGGGAGGGGCUCAGUGUGACACAUGAGUGAGGGAGGGGCGUGUUGUCACAAAAGGGUGUGGGAGGGGCCCAGUGUGACACAGGGAUGUGGGAGGGGCCUGUCGUGACACAGGGGUGUGGGAAGGGUUCAGUGUGACACAGGAGUGAGGGAGGGGCUCUAUUUGACACAGUGGGAGAGGGAAUCCACAUGACACAUGACUAGGGGAGGGGCUCAGUGUGACACAUGUGUAAGGGAGGGGCAUACUGUGACACAGGGUUGUGGGCCACACUCAGUGCGACACAUGAGUGGAGGAGAGGCUCCAUAUUCCACAUGAGUGGGAGAGGGACUCCAUGUGACACAUGAGUAGGAGAGGGCAUGUGGUGACACAAGGAUAUGGGAGUGACACAUGAGAGAGAGAGGCUCAGCGUGACAUACUGUCGUCAGAGGGGAUCUAUAUGACACACGUGGGGGAGGGGCUUAGUGUAAUGCAUAGCUGGUGAGGGGGGCUAAUGUGACAAAUGAAUGGGGGAGGGAUUCAGUAAGACACAUGAUGGGGGACAGUGGGAACACGUGAAUGAGUGGGGGAUCUGGCGUUACAAAUAGGUGGGGGGGGUCUUGGUGUAACACAUGAGUAGGAUAAGGGCUCAGUGACACAUGACUGGGGGAGUGUCUCUAUGUGACAUGAAUGGGGGAGGUACUAGGUGUUGCAAUGAGAACGGGGCUCAUUGUGGCACACAGGUUGGGGGAGGGGCUUCACGUAACACGAGUGAGGGAGGGGUUCCAUGUGACAAAUGAGCAGUGGGACUUGGUGGGACUUGGUGAGCCAUGUGAGUGAGAGAGGGGCUAUACGCGACAUAUGGGUGGGGGAAGGACUCAGUGUGACACAUGAGUGUGGAACUCAGUGUGACACAGGGGUGUUGGAGGGGCUGAGUGUGACGCAUGGGUGAAAAAGGUAUUCUAUGUGAUACACGAGUGCAGGAGGGAGUCUGUGUGACACAUGAGUGGGUGAGGGACCCCAUGAUACCUAAGCUGGUGAGGGUCAAGGUGACACAAGACUGAGGAGGGACUGAGUGUGAUGCAUGAGUGGAGGAGGGAGCCCAGUGUGACACACUGAAUGUGACACAUAGACGGGGGGCGGAUCAGUGUGACAUGUGGGUGCAGAAGGGGCUCAGUGUGAUGUAAAAAUGGUGGGAUUCAGUGUGACACAACUGGGGAAAGUCUCUAUGUGACACGAGUAGAAAGGGACUCCGUAUGAUACCUAAGAGGAGGAGGGACUCAGUGGGACACAGGAGGGAGGGAGGAAGGGAGGGGUCAGUGUGACACAUGAAUUGCGGGGCUCAGUUUGACACAUGGGUGGAAUAGGGGUUCUAAGAGACACGUGUGGAGAAACAUGAGUGGGAGGGAGUCAGUGUCACACACAGGUUGGGGAGGAGCUCAGAGUGACACAUGAGUGUAGCAAGGACUCAGUGUAGGACAUGGGUGAGAGGGCCUGUGUGUGACACGAAUGGGGGGCUGUGUGUGACACAAAUGAGACAUGAAUGGGGAGGGAUUUUCAGUGUGAUGCAGGAGUGGGGGAGGUGCUCAGUAUAACACAUGGGUGGGGGAGAGACUUCAUAUGGCACAUUGGUUGGGGGGUCUAGAUGAGACAUGAGUCAGGGAGGGGAUCCAUGUGAUACACGAAUAGGGGACGGACUCUGCAGAACACAUGGGUGGAGAAGAAGCUCUAUGUGACACGAAUAGGGAAAGGACUUGGUGUGACACAAAGGUGGGAGGACAGACUCUGUGUGACACAUGAAUGGGGGAGGGGCUCAAUGUAACACAGGUGGGGAGGAGCUCCAUAUAACACAUGAACGAGUGAGGCACUUAGUAUGACACAUGAGUACAGGGUCUAACGCAUGGGUGGAGGAUGGGCUCCAUGUGAGUCAUGAGUGGAGAAGUGAUCCAGUGUGACACAUGAGUGAGGGAAGGGGCUCAGUGUGACAUAUGAAUAGGGGAGGGGCUCUGUGUGACACAUGGGCAGAGAAAGGACUCCAUGUGACACGUAAGUAGGAAAGGGACUCAGUGUGACACAUGAGUGGGGAGUUUGGUGUGUCACAUGCAUGAAGGAGGUGCUCUGAGACACACGAGUCGAAGUGGGCACAGUGUGAUACAUGAGUGGGGAGAGGAUCAUCUGACAUAUGAGUGGGGGCUCAGUGUGACACAUGAGUGGGGAAGGGCUCCAGAUGACACAUGAGUAGAGGAGGGGCUCAGGAUAACACAUGAAUGAGGGAGGUGCUCACUGUAACACAUGGGUGAGGAAAGCAGCUCAGUACGACACAUGAGAGUGGAAGAGGGGCUCAAUGUGACACAGGAGUGAGGGAGGGAGUCGGGGUGGCAUGUGGGUGGGAGAAGGACUCCAUAUGAUACGUGAGUGGCAGAGGUCUCAGUGUGACACUGAGGGGGGAUUCAGUGUGACACGUGAUUAGAUAGGGACUCAGUAUGACACGAAUAGGAGGGGGACUGUAUGAUUGGAGGCAGAGGUUUAGCAUGACACAUGAGUCAGGGAGGAUUCAGUGUGACAUGGGUGCAGAAGGGGCUCAGUGUGGCCCAUGAAUGGCAGGUCUCAGUGUGACAGUGAGUGGCAGAGGGACUCAGUGUGACAGAGGAGUCGGGUAGGAGUUCCAUAUGAGACAUGAGUUGGUGAGGGGCUCAGUAUGCACGUGAAUGGGGGAGAAACACAGUGUGAUACACAGCAGGGAAGGGAUUUAGUAUAAAACAUGAGCGAGGGUACUUGGUGUGACACAUGAGUGAAACAGGGGCUCUAUGUGACAGAGGGUCUCUAUGUGACACAUGAGUGGAGAAGAGGCUCAAUGUAAUGUGACAUAAGUGGGGAAGGGACUCAGUGAGACACACAGGUUAGGGGGUUUCAGUGUGACACAUGAGUGGAACAGGGACUAGGUGUGGCUCAUAGGUGGGGGAGGGGGCUCUGUGUGACAUGAGUCGGGGAGAGGCUCCAUGUGACACAUGAAUGAGUGAGAAACUAGGUAUGACACAUGAAUAGGGGAGGUGGUCAGUGUAACACGAGUGAAAGACAGACUUAGUUUAAUAGAUAAGUAGGGGGAGGGGCUCAGUGUUACACAUGGUGGAAGAAAGACUGGAUGUGGCACAAUAGUGAGGAACAUACGUGUGACAUGAGUGGAGUAGGGGCCCCAUGACACAUGAGUAGGGGACAGACUCAGUGUUUCACAUGGGGGGAGGAAGAGCUCAGGGUGUCAUGAGUGGGGGGACUUCAUGUGACACAUGGGUGGAGGAGGGGCUCGAUGUGACACAUGGAAGGGAGGAGCAGAUCAGUAUGACACAAGUGCAGUAAGGGGCUUAGUGUGACACGAGUUUGAAAGGAGCUCUAUGUGACAUGAGUUGGGAAAAGGACUCCAGGAUACAUGAGUAGGGGAGGGGCUCAAUGUGACACAUGAGUGGGGGAGGGACUCCAUAUGAUACGUGAGUGGGGGAUGGGGUCAGUGCGACACAUGAGUGAGGAGUGCUCAGUGUGACACAUGGAUGUCACAGGAGCUCAGUGUGACACACAGGGGGAGGGACUUGAUGUGACACAUGGGUGGGGGAGGGGCUCCAUAUGACAUAGUAGAGGAUGGGCUCAGUUGACACAUGAAGAGGUGAGGGACUCAGUAUGACAUCUGGGUGCUGGAGGGGCUUUGUGUGACACAUGAGUAGGGGAGGGGUUCAGUGUGGCCUAUGGAUGGGAAAGGGACUAAGUGUAAUGCUUGAAUGCAAAGGCUCGGUAUAACAUAUGGGUGGAAGAGGGGCACCAUCAGUGGGGAAGGGCUCAGUCCUCCUCAUGAGUAGGGGGAGGGGCUCUGUGUUACGUAUGACACAUGAGUGUGGAAGAGGUUCAAUGUGACACAUGAGUGGAGGAGGAGCCCCAUGGGACACAUGAGAAGAGGAGGGGCUCAGUGACAUGAGUAGAGGAGGGGCUCAGUGACAUGAGUGGAGGAGGGGCUCAUAUAAUGCAUGAGGGGAAGGGCACAGGGUGACACAUGAGUUGGGGGGGGUGUGACACAUGGGUAGAGGAGGGGCUCCAUGUGACACAUGAGAGGAGGAGGGGCUCAAUGUAACACAUGGUGGAGGAAGGGGCUCAGUGUGACACAUGAAAUGGGAGGGACUUCAUAAUGAUGCAUGAGUGAGGGGCUCAAGAUGACACAAGGGUGGGAAAGGGUCUUAGCAUGACACAUGAGUGGGGCUCUUGGUGGACACACAAGUGAAGGGUCUCCACGGGACACAAGUGAGGAAGGGACUAAGUGUGACACACAGGUUAGUGGAAGGGCUCAGAGUGACAUAUGAGUGGAGAGUCUUGGUGAGACACAUGGGUGACGGAGGUGCUGUAUGAGACAAGUGUGGUGGAGGAACUCUAUGCGACACAUGAGUAGGCAAGGGACUCCAUAUGAUGCAUGAGUAGGGGAGGGGCUCAGUGUGACACAUGGGUCUCACAGGGGCUCAGUAAAACACAUAGGUGGGGGAGGGAUUUCAUGUGACACAUAAGUGGGGGAGGGGCUCCACAUAACACAUGGAUUCAGUGUGACCCAUGAGUGAGGGAGCAGCUCAGUAUGACAUAAGGGUGCUGGAGGGGCUAUAUGUGACCCAUGAACCUGGGAAGGGCUCAGUGUGGCACACGGGUGGGAGAUGGGCUCAAGUGUGACACCUGAGUGAGGGGGCUCAGUAUAACACAUCGGUGGAGGCACUAGAGGGGCACCAUGAGACACAGGAGUGAGGGAAGACAGUGCUACUCAUGAUCAGGGAGAGGGCUCAGGGUGACACACGAGUAGGGAAUGGACACAGGUGUGACACAUGAGUGGAGGAGGAGCUCAGUGUAAUACAUGAGUGAGGAGGGGCUCCAUGGGACACAAGUAGAGGAGGGGCUCAGUGUGACACAUGUUCAAGGAGGGGCUUGGUUGACACAUGAACCUAGCAGUGGUUUUCACCCUCAGGAACAUCCCAUGAACAUCCCACUGAGAGUGAUGGGCAUCCUGGGGUGAAGGUGGGACACCCAGGGGGCCACCUCAUCCUACCAGACCCCAAGGCAGUCUGCACACACCACGCUAAUUCUGAUUCAGAAUCUAAUUAAGACAGGCAACUAAACAAUCCCAAAAGUUACAGAAGUUCAUGCACCAAAAGUACAAUUCCAAUUAGCUAACCUGAAACUUCUCCUGAAGACCACCAAGGUCCCCUAAAAUUGAGUCUACUCCAAUCCGUGAAGGGGACCAUUAAGACAGCUGAGGCACCGUCAAACCCAACAAGUCCACACCCCCUCUCCCUCGAACAUCCACAGGGUCUUCAUGGACACUAGAGGGUCCCAUAUCUGGGCUCUCCAAGACCUAGAAAUUUCCAAAAUGGUUAUCUGACAACCAACACUUGGCCAACCAAAAACAUUAAAUCUGAUAGACAAAGCAAUUCCCAUCCUUGACCACCGUCAUUUUAGAGAGCAGAAGUUCACUGUAAUAGCCCCAAAGUAGAAAAGACAUAGCUCAGAUUCUUACAAUGGAAUAAAUUUUGCUUUACACAAAAUUCACUGGCUUGUCCGCUAUGUUCUGAUUUUACCCCAGAAGCAUGAACACUCCUUCACAGACUGGG
rnacentral:lncRNA from 1 species